GGUUCAAAUCCGGGUUAGGGCAUUUCUGUGUGGAGUUUGCAUGUUCUCCCUGUGUCUGGGUGGGUUUACUCCAGGUACUCUUGUUUCCUCCCACAUCCCAAAAACAUGCCUAAGUGGGGUUAGGUCAAUUGGCCACUUCCAAAUUGCCCAUAGGUGUGAAUGUGAGCGUGGAUGGUUGUUCAUCUCUAUAUGUCAGCCCUGCGGUGAACUGGCGACUUGUCCAGGAUGUCCCCUGCCUUCACCUGAAGAUGCUUGAAUAGGCUCCAGCCCCCCCGGGAACAGGAAUAAGCGGUAGAAAAUGAAAUGAAAUAAAAAUUAGAAAAAUAAUAUAAAAAAAUAUAUAUAUUUAGAUCUGAUUGGUUUUUACAUAUUCUGUCCAUUUGUUUCAGAUUUUAUAAAAAAAAUUCUCUCUCAACUUUGAGGGAAAAAGAAAUCUUCUCCAUAAAUCUCAUAAACAAUUUUAAACCCUUCGUCAACGAUGGGAGGUUCCGCCUUCCUCACCUCACCUUUUAGUUAUUUGUCACAUUUCAGUAUUUUUGCCCUGAGUAGUUUAAAGUUGGAACAUUUCAGUGUAUGUAUAUUUGUUUUUUUCGAUUUCUUCUUUUUUUUUGUGCGGGGUCGAUGGUGGGAUGGCGUCCAGGUUCAGCCCCUGCUGCCCUGACAGACGUGCAGUUCACUGCACUCUCAACCACAUCUUCAUCUUCAGUGAUAUAGAGUUUAUCCUGGCUACUGAGUGUAUAACUGAACAUGCUCUCUUAUGUGUCUCAAAACUCAGAUAAAAUAAGGUGCUGACACAGAGCGCAAAGAAACUGCAAACAAUCUGAUGUUGCUGGUUGUGUCCUCAUUGACAUACAACAGCAGAGUUAACUUCCUAGUUAGUACCCUCCUCUUGACCACCUCUUGUUAGCUCAUAUUUAGACUUCUCCAGAUUGACCAAACUUAACCACACUGACAGAAAAUGACACAAAACACAACAAACCUCUGAUUUAACGUAAAGAUCUGACUUCACUUCCACGUGUCUCCUCUCAUAUCUGCUGUGUUUAUCUCUCGCUGUGCUACUGCAUGAACAUAAAACUCUUGGGUUAUCAGUUCAUGAGAAAAAUGCUUUUGUUCACAUUGUCAUGAUUACAAAUCUUUACAGUGAAUCAGUGACAUAAUUCCCUUUUCGUAUAUUCUGACUUCACUGAUUUAAACUCUGAGUUUUUCUGUAAAUGCUCUGUUAGAAAAAUCUAAAUCAGAGGAAAAACACCCUCACAUUAUGAAGAUGAGCUCUCAAAGUUGUGUAUUUGUUGUGUUUUCUCUCCUCUCUGUCUGGUUUGUCUCUGGGGAGUUUAUUGAUCUGUGCUCAACACGAGUUUGUUUACUCCUCAGGGUUUAGGAUUAGCAGUUAGCAUACUGGAGAGAUUAAUUUUCUAAUCUUUUAAUCAGUGGUGAAUAUUUAUGAUUUUAUGUCUGAUUAUGGAGUUCCACAGGGUGGAUACAACGUGGUGGAGGAGGCACGGUGUGUACCUGUGUGUGUGUGUGUGUGUGUGUGUGUGUGUGUGUGUGUGUGUGGUGAGCAGAGAUGUGUCGGUGGGGGUGGAGGGGGUUGGUUAAUAAAUUCAAGUUUUAGUCAUGUGGAGGGACACACACACCCACACACAAAAAGAGCCAAUGUCACUGUGUGUGGUUAGGUGGGCACUAAAGCAAAAGUGGCAAUGUAAGAGUACAGACAUCAGCCUUUAGCACAUAGCCAGUGUAAAGCUAGUCUAAACUCAAUCUGUUAAACUGCAUGCUCUACUCAUAAUUGAAGAAAAAGUAUCUGAAUGUAAGUGAAUUUGAUUAAAAAGAAAAAAAGAAACAAGAGUGUGUUAUAUACGCCAUGCACAAACAUAUACAAAGUAAACAGGUAGUACCUUUGGUUUCUAUCCAAUCAUAGAGAAAGGCACUUCCUUGCAAUGGACGCUAGAAGAAUCUGUUCAAUUAUAGACAUUAUGAACAUACUGUUUGUACAUGGAAAUGAAGUGUACAUAACAACAGAUCUUUACUGAGUAGCAGUGUAGAGAAGAGCUGUACUUUCCUGCUGUACUGUGAAUGUAUGAGCUGUUGAACAGGUGUGUCUGUGACCUGGAAGUGUUUAUUAAAUGGUUCAAUGUAGUCAGGCCUUUGGGGGAAUGACUUUUGGUGAAGCAGGACACUAGGGAUCACUACAAUGUUACGGUUGGACUUGGUUGGACCCUGAUAUUAGCUAUGCUAUUGACCUUGUCUGAUACUUUAGAAAUAUUUAAAAUAAACACACUUCAAGUCUGGCGUAUACAGUCUAGUUUUCACUAAAUUAGAGUGCAAAUGUUGUUCCUAUUGUGUCACCAGCAGAUGAGUCAUAUAUUCAGCUGCAGAGGAAAGGAGGUGUGGUGUGAAGUGCGGUUGCGUGUCCACUGCCUCAGGUCUGAAUUUAAGAUUUAAUGACACCCGUAGCUAACCAGCUAAAGACAAUCAAAACAAGUGCAUCUCCAAAUCUUCUUCUGACAGUUAUUAAAUUAUCCAAUUAAAAAGUGAGAUUAUCCCCAGAGAUAAUCUCUCUGAGUCCACGUCUUCCUCUGCACAGCUCAUCAUGUUUGUUCAGCAGGGAGGAUGGAAAGUGAUGCUCCUCUCAGACUGAAGCCUCAAAUUGAGGUUUAGUUUAAGCCUCCUGGAGUCAAAGACAGUCUUAAUGCUGUUAACUACAGAUGGUAGUACAGUUUUAAAGGUUAAUAAGAGCUUAGAUUUUUAUUUGUCAGUGCUAUCAUUGAUCAUGACUCUGAUCUCACAGCCCAUUGGCUAUCGAUAGUUGCUGAUAGAGUUUUGGGAACAAUGACCGACUUUAAGGGCUUCCCACCCAGUUCUUAGCCAUCAGAUAUUUCCAGCCAAAAUCAAAAUUUUCUGUUGUGCAUUUUUAGGUCUCAUUUACUUUUUCAUUUAUUUCAUCUUAUUUCAUUCAUGUCGUUGUUGACAGUUGUACAUGUUCAGUAUCGAUGGAAGCAGACAGGGGCAGAAAGCUACAGUGUGUGUAGCGGUGGUUGAUCACAGGUAUAGGACACAACACAGUAAAAAUGAAGAAACGAGAAGAGAGUUUCUUGUUUUUAAAUCAGUUAUGUUAUUAACAACUUGUAAACACUGCACGAAUAAAGUUGUCUCAGCAUCUUCACAUUCAUUCGGUUCAGACAACUUUAUUCGUGCAAUGUCUGCUAUGGAUUAAGUUGUGUGGCAGACCACACAGCCAAUUUAUCAUGCAGAAGAUCAACAAGGAUGUCUGUGUUUGUUUUAAGUCAAGUUACGCCACAUAGAUUUAAAUCUACUAACUUUACCUACAGUUAUUUAAGCGUUAUUAGCGAUGUAGCAACGGAGCUUUUGCCUCUCGUAAACGAGCUAACACUAAUGUUAGCCCAGGUUAGCACACAAGAUGAGUGACUGUAACACUCAGUGCCUCUCCAGAGUAGUUUAAAUAAUUAAAGGUAAAUUAAUUUAAUCUUACCCUGCGGUAUACCCUUGCCUCCAAUUCAGCUGUGUUCUCACCAACCGCAUCUAAUUUUGAAUUCUGGACACAUCCCUCCGAAGGAAUCAGGUCUUCUGUGCCCAGGAUUUGUUGAGACCCUCUUGGAGUAGCGCUUUGACACCAGCAGCGGCCAUUAUAAAGCUGCUUUAAAGUUGCUAUGAAACUGCUCAGCUCCUGUUGUUUGUCCGAGUUAGCAACAGUAACUAAGAGGGGGGCGGGGCUCAGCGAUAGGUCAAUUUGAGUCAGGGUGAACAUGCCUUGUAAGUUCUGCCCAAAUUUCAAACAUAAACUUUGAAAAGAAAAAAAUGAAAGUUGUAAGAGGAUACUCUGAGUAUUUCUGAUAAAGCAGCAAUAGGUGAGGAAAUUAAGAAAGCUGGCUUUACAGGACACAUCAUGGGCUUUAUGAAUCCGCAGUGCAUUUCCAUUUAAUGGAUCUUGGCCUCGAGUUUGCUUUUAAGUUCACAGCAGAAAAAUAAUGUCAUGUUUUUACUCUGAACCUUCACAGGUCGUGGGUCUUGCAAACUGUUCAUAAAAGAUUUUAUGCUGCAGGUUAGAGUUUGCUUUUGUCUGUACAAAGGCAUUAAAUUCAUCCAUAAAGUGAGGUGCUGUUUUAUGUGUGUCUGCAGAAAGGGUCCCAGCAGCAGACUUCAGUGUUUAGAGAGGGUUUAGCUGAGUCAGAGAGGAGAUAGAGGGAGUGCUGGGCUCUGUGUGUCG